rnacentral:rRNA from 1 species
CGAUUUAAUCGUUGGUGUGCGGGGGAUACUGUUCGGCUUGGGGGUGGGAGAGGCCGACGGUAUUCUCGGGGUAGGGGUGAAAUCCUAUAAUCCCGGGAGGACCACCAGUGGCGAAGGCUGUCGGCUAGAACAUGCUCGACGGUGAGGGAUGAAAGCUGGGGGAGCGAACCGGAUUAGAUACCCGGGUAGUCCCAGCUGUAAACGAUGCAGGCUAGGUGUUAGAACGGCCACGUGCCGCUCUAGUGCCGCAGGGAAGCUGUUAAGCCUGCCACCUGGGGAGUACGGCCGCAAGGCUGAAACUUAAAGGAAUUGGCGGGGGAGCACCACAAGGGGUGAAGCUUGCGGUUUAAUUGGAGUCAACGCCGGAAAUCUCACCGGGGGCGACAGCAGUAUGAAGGCCAGAUUAAAGGUCUUGCUAGACGAGCUGAGAGGAGGUGCAUGGCCGUCGCCAGUUCGUGCCGUGAGGUGUCCUGUUAAGUCAGGCAACGAUCGAGACCCGCGUCCCUCGUUGCUACCAGCUAUGUGCUGGGCACACUGGGGAGACCGCCGUCGAUAAGGCGGAGGAAGGAGCGGGCCACGGCAGGUCAGUAUGCCCCGAAUCUCCCGGGCCACACGCGAGCUGCAAUGGCAGG